rnacentral:rRNA from 1 species
UACGUAGGGUGCGAGCGUUGUCCGGAAUUACUGGGCGUAAAGAGCUCGUAGGCGGUUUGUCGCGUUGUUCGUGAAAACUCACAGCUUAACUGUGGGCGUGCGGGCGAUACGGGCAGACUGGAGUACUGCAGGGGAGACUGGAAUUCCUGGUGUAGCGGUGGAAUGCGCAGAUAUCAGGAGGAACACCGGUGGCGAAGGCGGGUCUCUGGGCAGUAACUGACGCUGAAGAGCGAAAGCGUGGGUAGCAAACAGG